rnacentral:snRNA from 1 species
AUAGUUUCAGGAGUUGUUG